rnacentral:rRNA from 1 species
UGAGUAACACGUUGGAACCUGCCCCAAAGUGAGGAAUAAGCCACCGAAAGGUGGUCUAAUACUUCAUAAUAUCCAUCUCGUAUGGAUUAAAGCUUUAUGCGCUUGGGGAGGGCCUGCGUAACAUUAGCUUGUUGGUGAGGUAAAAGCUCACCAAGGCUUCGAUGUUUAACUGGUUUGAGAGGAUGACCAGUCACACUGGGACUGAGAUACGGCCCAGACUCCUACGGGAGGCAGCAGUAAGGAAUCUUCCACAAUGGGGCAACCCUGAUGGAGCAAUACCGCGUGCAGGAUGAAGCGUUUCGGCGUGUAAACUGCUUUUAUCACCGAAGAUUAUGACUGUAGGUGAAGAAUAAGGACCGGCUAACUACGUG